CGUAGCUUAGUGGUCAAAGCAUUGGCGCGUAAAGCCAAAUAAAGCCAAAGAGCCCGGGUUCUAUUCCCGGCG
rnacentral:tRNA from 1 species